rnacentral:rRNA from 1 species
UACGGAGAGUGCAAGCGUUGUUCGGAAUCACUGGGCGUAAAGCGAGUGUAGGCGGUCCCGCAUGUCGGGUGUGAAAGCCCACGGCUCAACCGUGGCGGGUCACCCGAAACUGCGGGACUUGAGUUCGGGAGAGGGAAGCGGAAUUCCCGGUGUAGAAGUGAAAUUCGUAGAUAUCGGGAGGAACACCAGUGGCGAAGGCGGCUUCCUGGACCGAUACUGACGCUGAGACUCGAAAGCGUGGGGAG